rnacentral:rRNA from 1 species
ACAUGUCUUUUUAGUAUUUAAUAUAAAGUCUAACCUGCCCACUGAAUAUUUUAAAGGGCCGCAGUAUUUUGACUGUGCAAAGGUAGCAUAAUCAUUAGUCUUUUAAUUGAAGGCUGGCAUGAAUGGUUGAAUGAGGUACAAGCUGUGUCAUAAAAAUUAAUAUUUGAAUUUAACUUUUUAGUUAAAAGGCUAAAAUAAAAUUAAAAGACGAGAAGACCCUAUAGAGCUUUAUAUAAAAAAUGUUUAAAUUAUUAAGAUUUAUUAAAUUUAAUUUUUAUUUUAUAUUUUGUUGGGGUGACAAUAAAAUUUAUAAAACUUUUAUUUUUAUUUUACAUUAAUUUAUGAUUAUAUGAUCCAGUUUUAUUGAUUAUAAAUUUAAGUUACCUUAGGGAUAACAGCGUAAUUUUUUUUGAGAGUUCUUAUCGACAAAAAAGAUUGCGACCUCGAUGUUGGAUUAAGAGUAAUUUUGGGUGUAGAAGUUCAAAGUUUAAGUCUGUUCGACUUUUAAAUUCUUACAUGAUC